rnacentral:rRNA from 1 species
GAUGAACGCUGGCGGCGUGCCUAAUACAUGCAAGUCGAGCGAACAGAUGAGGAUCUUGCUCCUCUGACGUUAGCGGCGGACGUGUGAGUAACACGUGUAUAACCUACCUAUAAGACUGGGAUAACUUCGGGAAACCGGAGCUAAUACCGGAUAAUAUAUUGAACCGCAUGGUUCAAUAGUGAAAGACGGUUUUGCUGUCACUUCUAGAUGGAUCCGCGCCGCAUUAGCUAGUUGGUAAGGUAACGGCUUACCAAGGCAACGAUGCGUAGACGACCUGAGAGGGUGAUCGGCCACACUGGAACUGAGACACGGUCCAGACGCCUACGGGAGGCCGCAGUAGGGUAUCUUCCGCAAUGGGCGAAAGCCUGACGGAGCAGCGCGGAGUGAGUGAUGACGGUCUUCGGAUCGUAAAACUCUGUUAUUAGGGAAGAACAAAUGUGUAAGUAACUAUGCACGUCUUGACGGUACCUGAUCAGAAAGCCACGGCUAACUACGUG